AUUUCGAGGCCGAAAUUUCUUUAAGGGGGGUAGGAUGUGGGAGUUUGACUUUUUUCUUUACUUUGCUUAUGUUUUGCCUUUUGAGUUUAACUUGUUGUUUAAGUAUUUUGAGUGUUCUUUUGUGUUAGGAACUUAGUUAUGGUUUUUGGGAGGUUUUUAAAGUGGGAGAGAGAGUCAUUUUGGAGGUUAACCUGAAAGCCUCACGGUUUCCAUGCGGGCGCAUGGAAGCCCGUGAGGGUUUCUGGUAAAAAUUCAAUUUUUGUGGGCUGAAAUGGACCAACCUGAAAGCCUCACGGCCUCCAUGCGGGCGCAUGGAGCCCGUGAAGAUUUCAGAAGUGGCCUCAAAGUGGUCUCACGAGCCUUGGCAUAUAUAUUGACCUUCUUGGACCUUCUAGGACAUUCCUAGCUUCUUUUUCUCUCCUUCUUCCUUCUCCUCUGAUUUUCUUCAUUUUUCUCUCUUCAAACCUCUCAUCUUUGAUCCCCAAACAAAAGAAGAAGUGGAAAUCUCAUCUCCUUACAAGAAGAAGAGUUCGAUUAAGGCAUAGAGAGGAUUAUCGGAGGAGAAGCUUCAAGCAAAGGAAAAGAGAUUAUAGACAAGUAACUUUGGAGGGUGUUAGCUCGCCAAGUUUGUGACAGCACAGCAGCGGGAUAGAAGCGUGAAGUGCUUGGCAGAGUAGUUUGUAUUUUCUUAGGCUGUGUAUGAAGCUUAUAUAUUUUGGCAUGUAGUUGAUGGAUCCACUAGGAUAUUACCA